rnacentral:rRNA from 1 species
GAAGGUGUGCUGUGAGGCAUGCUGGAGGUAUCAGAAGUGCGAAUGCUGACAUAAGUAACGAUAAAGCGGGUGAAAAGCCCGCUCGCCGGAAGACCAAGGGUUCCUGUCCAACGUUAAUCGGGGCAGGGUGAGUCGACCCCUAAGGCGAGGCCGAAAGGCGUAGUCGAUGGGAAACAGGUUAAUAUUCCUGUACUUGGUGUUACUGCGAAGGGGGGACGGAGAAGGCUAUGUUGGCCGGGCGACGGUUGUCCCGGUUUAAGCGUGUAGGCUGGUUUUCCAGGCAAAUCCGGAAAAUCAAGGCUGAGGCGUGAUGACGAGGCACUACGGUGCUGAAGCAACAAAUGCCCUGCUUCCAGGAAAAGCCUCUAAGCAUCAGGUAACAUCAAAUCGUACCCCAAACCGACACAGGUGGUCAGGUAGAGAAUACCAAGGCGCUUGAGAGAACUCGGGUGAAGGAACUAGGCAAAAUGGUGCCGUAACUUCGGGAGAAGGCACGCUGAUAUGUAGGUGAAGUCCCUCGCGGAUGGAGCUGAAAUCAGUCGAAGAUACCAGCUGGCUGCAACUGUUUAUUAAAAACACAGCACUGUGCAAACACGAAAGUGGACGUAUACGGUGUGACGCCUGCCCGGUGCCGGAAGGUUAAUUGAUGGGGUUAGCCGCAAGGCGAAGCUCUUGAUCGAAGCCCCGGUAAACGGCGGCCGUAACUAUAACGGUCCUAAGGUAGCGAAAUUCCUUGUCGGGUAAGUUCCGACCUGCACGAAUGGCGUAAUGAUGGCCAGGCUGUCUCCACCCGAGACUCAGUGAAAUUGAACUCGCUGUGAAGAUGCAGUGUACCCGCGGCAAGACGGAAAGACCCCGUGAACCUUUACUAUAGCUUGACACUGAACAUUGAGCCUUGAUGUGUAGGAUAGGUGGGAGGCUUAGAAGUGUGGACGCCAGUCUGCAUGGAGCCGACCUUGAAAUACCACCCUUUAAUGUUUGAUGUUCUAACGUUGACCCGUAAUCCGGGUUGCGGACAGUGUCUGGUGGGUAGUUUGACUGGGGCGGUCUCCUCCUAAAGAGUAACGGAGGAGCACGAAGGUUGGCUAAUCCUGGUCGGACAUCAGGAGGUUAGUGCAAUGGCAUAAGCCAGCUUGACUGCGAGCGUGACGGCGCGAGCAGGUGCGAAAGCAGGUCAUAGUGAUCCGGUGGUUCUGAAUGGAAGGGCCAUCGCUCAACGGAUAAAAGGUACUCCGGGGAUAACAGGCUGAUACCGCCCAAGAGUUCAUAUCGACGGCGGUGUUUGGCACCUCGAUGUCGGCUCAUCACAUCCUGGGGCUGAAGUAGGUCCCAAGGGUAUGGCUGUUCGCCAUUUAAAGUGGUACGCGAGCUGGGUUUAGAACGUCGUGAGACAGUUCGGUCCCUAUCUGCCGUGGGCGCUGGAGAACUGAGGGGGGCUGCUCCUAGUACGAGAGGACCGGAGUGGACGCAUCACUGGUGUUCGGGUUGUCAUGCCAAUGGCACUGCCCGGUAGCUAAAUGCGGAAGAGAUAAGUGCUGAAAGCAUCUAAGCACGAAACUUGCCCCGAGAUGAGUUCUCCCUGACUCCUUGAGAGUCCUGAAGGAACGUUGAAGACGACGACGUUGAUAGGCCGGGUGUGUAAGCGCAGCGAUGCGUUGAGCUAACCGGUACUAAUGAACCGUGAGGCUUAACC